AGAACACUUUCAUAGGUCCUCCCCUGACAAACCCUGGGCCAGGAUUUGGUAGUUGCUGCUGAAAGAAAAUCCUUGAUUGCAUCCUUGCCCUGUGACUGUGCCAGUUGCAGCUGUCACUCAGUGGGACAGAG